UACAGAGGGGGCAAGCGUUAUUCGGAAUUAUUGGGCGUAAAGGGCGCGUAGGCGGCUUGGCAAGUGGAAGGUGAAAUCCCUCGGCUUAACCGAGAAACUGCCCUCCAAACUGCUUCGCUUGAGACCGGGAGAGGUGAGUGGAAUUCCCAGUGUAGCGGUGAAAUGCGUAGAUAUUGGGAGGAACACCAGUGGCGAAGGCGGGUCACCGGACCGGUACUGACGCUGAUGCACGAAAGCGUGGGGAGCAAGCGGG
rnacentral:rRNA from 1 species